rnacentral:rRNA from 1 species
UACGUAGGGGGCAAGCGUUGUCCGGAUUUAUUGGGCUUAAAGAGCUCGUAGGUGGUUCGGUAAGUCGGAUGUGAAAUCUCCAGGCUCAACCUGGAGGGGUCAUUCGAUACUGCCGUGACUAGAGUUCGGUAGGGGAGUGUGGAAUUCCUGGUGGAGCGGUGAAAUGCGCAGAUAUCAGGAGGAACACCCGUAGCGAAGGCGGCACUCUGGGCCGAUACUGACACUGAGGAGCGAAAGCGUGGGGAGCGAACAGG